rnacentral:snRNA from 1 species
AAAAAGGCCUUCUGUCGUGAGUGGCACACGUAGAGCAGCCUGAUUGCUCUACGUGUGGAAUCGACAUCGAGCGAGUUCGGAAGCAUAAUUUUUUGGUACUUGGACAGCUGGUGAUCGUUGGUCCUGGCGUCCGC